UACGUAGGGGGCAAGCGUUGUCCGGAUUUAUUGGGCGUAAAGAGCUCGUAGGCGGCUCGGUAAGUCGGAUGUGAAACCUCCAGGCUCAACCUGGAGACGCCAUCUGAUACUGCCGUGGCUUGAGUCCGGUAGAGGAGCAGGGAAUUCCUGGUGUAGCGGUGGAAUGCGCAGAUAUCAGGAGGAACACCAGCGGCGAAGGCGCUGCUCUGGGCCGGUACUGACACUGAGGAGCGAAAGCGUGGGGAGCGAACAGG
rnacentral:rRNA from 1 species